rnacentral:rRNA from 1 species
GCUUACGGCCAUACCACCUUAGGCACGCCCGAUCUCGUCUGAUCUCCGAAGCUAAGCAGGGUCGGGCCUGGUUAGUACUUGGAUGGGUGACCGCCUGGGAAUACCAGGUGCUGUAAGCA